GCCUCUGUAGCUCAGCGGUAGAGCGGGCCGCUCAUAACGGUUUGGCCGGGGGUUCGAAUCCCUCCGGAGGCA
rnacentral:tRNA from 1 species